UACGUAGGGGGCUAGCGUUGUCCGGAAUCAUUGGGCGUAAAGCGCGUGUAGGCGGUCCGGUAAGUCCGCUGUGAAAGUCGGGGGCUCAACCCUCGAAUGCCGGUGGAUACUGUCGGGCUAGAGUGCGGAAGAGGCGAGUGGAAUUCCUGGUGUAGCGGUGAAAUGCGUAGAUAUCAGGAAGAACACCGGCGGCGAAGGCGGCCCUCUGGACGGAUACUGACGCUGAGACGCGAAAGCGUGGGGAGCAAACAGG
rnacentral:rRNA from 1 species